rnacentral:rRNA from 1 species
GACUCCUACGGGAGGCAGCAGUGGGGAAUAUUGGACAAUGGGCGCAAGCCUGAUCCAGCAAUGCCGCGUGUGUGAAGAAGGUUAACGGAUUGUAAAGCACUUUCAGCGGGGACGAUGAUGACGGUACCCGCAGAAGAAGCCAAGGCUAACUUCGUGCCAGCAGCCGCGGUAAUACGAAGGGGGCAAGCGUUGCUCGGAAUGACUGGGCGUAAAGGGCGCGUAACCGGUUGUUACAGUCAGAUGUGACUUUCCCGGGCUUAACCUGGGGGCUGCAUUUGAUACGUGGCGACUAGAGUGUGAGAGAGGGUUGUGGAAUUAACAGUGUAGAGGUGAAAUUCGUAGAUAUUGGGAAGAACACCGGUGGCGCCGGCGGCAACCUGGCUCAUGACUGACGCUGAGGCGCGAAAGCGUGGGGAGCAAACAGGAUUAGAUACCCUGGUAGUCCACGCUGUAAACGAUGUGUGCUGGAUGUUGGGUGGC